AACCUGGUUGGGUGGUCUGCCUUCACGGUACGUACUGCUUGGCCGGGUUCUACCUCUUGGUGAGCCGGCAUGCCCUUUACUGGGUGUGUCGGGGAACCAGGACUUUUACCUUGAGAAAAUUAGAGUGUUUAAAGCAGGCAUAAGCUUGAAUACGUUAGCAUGGAAUAAUAGAAUAGGACU
rnacentral:rRNA from 1 species